rnacentral:rRNA from 1 species
GGUCAAGUGAAGAAGCGCAUACGGUGGAUGCCUUGGCAGUCAGAGGCGAUGAAAGACGUGGUAGCCUGCGAAAAGCUUCGGGGAGUCGGCAAACAGACUUUGAUCCGGAGAUCUCUGAAUGGGGGAACCCACCUAGGAUAACCUAGGUAUCUUGUACUGAAUCCAUAGGUGCAAGAGGCGAACCAGGGGAACUGAAACAUCUAAGUACCCUGAGGAAAAGAAAUCAACCGAGAUUCCCUUAGUAGUGGCGAGCGAACGGGGAUUAGCCCUUAAGCUUCAUUGAUUUUAGCGGAACGCUCUGGAAAGUGCGGCCAUAGUGGGUGAUAGCCCCGUACGCGAAAGGAUCUUUGAAGUGAAAUCGAGUAGGACGGAGCACGAGAAACUUUGUCUGAACAUGGGGGGACCAUCCUCCAAGGCUAAAUACUACUGACUGACCGAUAGUGAACCAGUACCGUGAGGGAAAGGCGAAAAGAACCCCGGAGAGGGGAGUGAAAUAGAACCUGAAACCGUAUGCGUACAAGCAGUGGGAGCCUACUUGUUAGGUGACUGCGUACCUUUUGUAUAAUGGGUCAGCGACUUAUAUUCAGUGGCAAGCUUAACCGUAUAGGGUAGGCGUAGCGAAAGCGAGUCUUAAUAGGGCGUUUAGUCGCUGGGUAUAGACCCGAAACCGGGCGAUCUAUCCAUGAGCAGGUUGAAGGUUAGGUAACACUGACUGGAGGACCGAACCCACUCCCGUUGAAAAGGUAGGGGAUGACUUGUGGAUCGGAGUGAAAGGCUAAUCAAGCUCGGAGAUAGCUGGUUCUCCUCGAAAGCUAUUUAGGUAGCGCCUCAUGUAUCACUCUGGGGGGUAGAGCACUGUUUCGGCUAGGGGGUCAUCCCGACUUACCAAACCGAUGCAAACUCCGAAUACCCAGAAGUGCCGAGCAUGGGAGACACACGGCGGGUGCUAACGUCCGUCGUGAAAAGGGAAACAACCCAGACCGCCAGCUAAGGUCCCAAAGUUGUGGUUAAGUGGUAAACGAUGUGGGAAGGCUUAGACAGCUAGGAGGUUGGCUUAGAAGCAGCCACCCUUUAAAGAAAGCGUAAUAGCUCACUAGUCGAGUCGGCCUGCGCGGAAGAUGUAACGGGGCUCAAACCACACACCGAAGCUGCGGGUGUCACGUAAGUGACGCGGUAGAGGAGCGUUCUGUAAGCCUGUGAAGGUGAGUUGAGAAGCUUGCUGGAGGUAUCAGAAGUGCGAAUGCUGACAUGAGUAACGACAAUGGGUGUGAAAAACACCCACGCCGAAAGACCAAGGGUUCCUGCGCAACGUUAAUCGACGCAGGGUUAGUCGGUUCCUAAGGCGAGGCUGAAAAGCGUAGUCGAUGGGAAACAGGUUAAUAUUCCUGUACUUCUGGUUACUGCGAUGGAGGGACGGAGAAGGCUAGGCCAGCUUGGCGUUGGUUGUCCAAGUUUAAGGUGGUAGGCUGAAAUCUUAGGUAAAUCCGGGGUUUCAAGGCCGAGAGCUGAUGACGAGUCGUCUUUUAGAUGACGAAGUGGUUGAUGCCAUGCUUCCAAGAAAAGCUUCUAAGCUUCAGGUAACCAGGAACCGUACCCCAAACCGACACAGGUGGUCGGGUAGAGAAUACCAAGGCGCUUGAGAGAACUCGGGUGAAGGAACUAGGCAAAAUGGCACCGUAACUUCGGGAGAAGGUGCGCCGGCUAGGGUGAAGGAUUUACUCCGUAAGCUCUGGCUGGUCGAAGAUACCAGGCCGCUGCGACUGUUUAUUAAAAACACAGCACUCUGCAAACACGAAAGUGGACGUAUAGGGUGUGACGCCUGCCCGGUGCCGGAAGGUUAAUUGAUGGGGUUAGCGCAAGCGAAGCUCUUGAUCGAAGCCCCGGUAAACGGCGGCCGUAACUAUAACGGUCCUAAGGUAGCGAAAUUCCUUGUCGGGUAAGUUCCGACCUGCACGAAUGGCGUAACGAUGGCGGCGCUGUCUCCACCCGAGACUCAGUGAAAUUGAAAUCGCUGUGAAGAUGCAGUGUAUCCGCGGCUAGACGGAAAGACCCCGUGAACCUUUACUGUAGCUUUGCACUGGACUUUGAGCCUGCUUGUGUAGGAUAGGUGGGAGGCUUUGAAGCGUGGACGCCAGUUCGCGUGG